rnacentral:rRNA from 1 species
AUGGAGGGGGAUAACUACUGGAAACGGUAGCUAAUACCGCAUAACGUCUCAAGACCAAAGAGGGGGACCUUCUGGCCUCUUGCCAUCUCAUGUGCCCCCAUGGGAUUAUCUAUUAUGUGGGGUAACGGCUCACCUAUGCGACAAUCCCUAUCUGGUCUGAGAGGAUGACCACCCACACUGGAACUGAGACACGGUCCCCACUCCUACGGGAGGCACCAGUGGGGAAUAUUGCGCAAUGGGCGCAAGCCUGAUGCACCCAUGCCGCGUGUAUGAAAAAAGCCUUCUGGUUGUAAAGUACUUUCUCCGGGGAGGAAAGUGUUGUGGUUAAUAACCCCAGCAAUUGACGUUACCCGCACAAAAAACACCGGCUAACUCCGUGCCACCACCCGCGGUAAUACGGAGGGUGCAAGCGUUAAUCGCAAUUACUGGGCGUAAAGCGCACGCACGCGGUCUGUCAAGUCGGAUGUGAAAUCCCCGGGCUCAACCUGGGAACUGCGUUCUAAACUGGGAGGCUGGAGUCUUGUGUAGGGGGGUAGAAUUCCAGGUGUAUCGGUGAAAUGCGUAUAGAUCUGGAGGAAUACCGGUGGCGAAAGCGGCCCCCUGGACAAAGACUGACGCUCACGUGCGAAAGCGUGUGGAGCA